rnacentral:rRNA from 1 species
AACGAACGCUGGCGGCAUGCCUAACACAUGCAAGUCGAACGAGACCUUCGGGUCUAGUGGCUCACGGGUGCGUAACGCGUGGGAACCUGCCCUUAGGUACGGAAUAACUCCCCUAAGUGGGUGCUAAUACAGGGUAAUUUCUGCGGACCAAAGAUUUAUCGCCUUUGGAUGGGCCCGCGUUGGAUUAGCUAGUUGGUAGGGUAAAAGCCUACCAAGGCGACGAUCCAUAGCUGGUCUGAGAGGAUGCUCAGCCACACUGGGACUGAGACACGGCCCAGACUCCUACGGGAGGCAGCAGAGGGGAAUAUUGGACAAUGGGCGAAAGCCUGAUCCAGCAAUGCCGCGUGAGUGAUGAAGGUCUUAGAGUUGUAAAGCUCUUUAACCCGGGAUGAUAAUGACAGUACCGGGAGAAUAAGCACCGGCUAACUCCGUG